UACGUAGGGGGCAAGCGUUGUCCGGAAUCAUUGGGCGUAAAGCGCGCGUAGGCGGUCCGAUAAGUCUGCUGUGAAAGUCGGGGGCUCAACCCUCGGAUGCCGGUGGAUACUGUCGGGCUUGAGUGCGGAAGAGGCGAGUGGAAUUCCGAGUGUAGAGGUGAAAUUCGUAGAUAUCGAGAGGAACACCUGUGGCGAAGGCGGCUGCCUGGACGACGAUUGACGCUGAGACGCGAAAGCGUGGGGAGCAAACAGG
rnacentral:rRNA from 1 species